UACGAAGGGGGCUAGCGUUGCUCGGAAUCACUGGGCGUAAAGCGCACGUAGGCGGCUUGUUAAGUCAGGGGUGAAAUCCUGGAGCUCAACUCCAGAACUGCCUUUGAUACUGGCGAUCUUGAGUCCGGAGGAGGUGAGUGGAACUCCUAGUGUAGAGGUGGAAUUCGUAGAUAUUAGGAAGAACACCAGUGGCGAAGGCGGCUCACUGGUCCGGUACUGACGCUGAGGUGCGAAAGCGUGGGGAGCAAACAGG
rnacentral:rRNA from 1 species